AGCCUCGUAGCUCAGUUGGCAGAGCAUUGGACUAGUAUCCCAAAGGUCGCGGGUUCGAUUCCCACCGUGGUCA